ensembl:lncRNA
GUUUGGGAGACACUGGUCUAGAGGUGGUAGGACUGAGUUUGGGAAACACUGGUCUAGACGUGGCAGGACUGAGUUUGGGAAACACUGGUCUAGACGUGGCAGGACUGAGUUUGGGAAACACUGGUCUAGACGUGGCAGGACUGAGUUUGGGAGACACUGGUCUAGAGGUGGCAGGACUGAGUUUGGGAAACACUGGUCUAGACGUGGCAGGACUAAGUUUGGGAGACCCUGGUCUAGACGUGGUAGGACUGAGUUUGGGAAACACUGGUCUAGACGUGGCAGGACUGAGUUUGGGAGACACUGGUCUAGAGGUGGUAGGACUGAGUUUGGGAAACACUGGUCUAGACGUGGUAGGACUGAGUCUGGGAGACCCUGGUCUAGACGUGGCAGGACUGAGUUUGGGAGACCCUGGUCUAGACGUGGUAGGACUGAGUCUGGGAGACCCUGG